rnacentral:rRNA from 1 species
GAUGAACGCUGGCGGCGUGCUUAACACAUGCAAGUCGAACGGGAAAUACUUUAUUGAAACUUCGGUCGAUUUAAUUUAUUUCUAGUGGCGGACGGGUGAGUAACGCGUGGGUAACCUGCCUUAUACUGGGGGAUAACAGCCAGAAAUGACUGCUAAUACCGCAUAAGCGCACAGAACCGCAUGGUUCCGUGUGAAAAACUCCGGUGGUAUAAGAUGGACCCGCGUUGGAUUAGCUAGUUGGCAGGGCAGCGGCCUACCAAGGCGACGAUCCAUAGCCGGCCUGAGAGGGUGAACGGCCACAUUGGGACUGAGACACGGCCCAGACUCCUACGGGAGGCAGCAGUGGGGAAUAUUGCACAAUGGGGGAAACCCUGAUGCAGCGACGCCGCGUGAAGGAAGAAGUAUCUCGGUAUGUAAACUUCUAUCAGCAGGGAAGAUAAUGACGGUACCUGACUAAGAAGCCCCGGCUAACUACGUGCCAGCCGCCGCG